rnacentral:rRNA from 1 species
ACAUGCCUACAACACAACGUUAAUGCAUCGGAUCCCAUUAGAACUUUGUAGUUAAGCGCACUCGGGCUAGAGUAGUACUGGGAUGGGUGACUUCCCGGAAAGUCCUAGUGUUUUACAUGCC